rnacentral:rRNA from 1 species
AGUUCAAGAGUACGUGAAACCGUUCAGGGGUAAACCUGAGAAACCCAAAAGAUCGAAUGGGGAGAUUCAUCGUCAGCUCAUUCUGUAUAUAUAUGAGUUGUGAUGCGGGUUACUACUUGUAGUAUUGCCUGCACAUUCUUGUAUAUUUAUUAGCAGGAUGUUGUCGGCGUGCACUUCUCCCCUAGUAGGACGUCGCGACCCGUUGGGUGUCGGUCUACGGCCUAAGUGAUAGUCUUUGAUAUUUUUUAUAAUAUUGAAGAUCCUUAGUGUUUCCCGACCGGCUACUCGGCGGUACUCGUACGGUAUUAAGCCGCA